UACAGAGACUGCGAGCGUUAUUCGGAUUCACUGGGCGUAAAGGGUGCGCAGGUGGCUUGGCAAGUUUGAUGUGAAAGCUCAGGGCUUAACCCUGAAAUGGCAUUGAAUACUGUUGAGCUGGAGGUUUGGAGGGGGGACUGGAAUUCUUGGUGUAGCAGUGAAAUGCGUAGAUAUCAAGAGGAACACCAGUGGCGAAGGCGAGUCCCUGGACAACACCUGACACUGAGGCACGAAAGCUAGGGGAGCAAACAGG
rnacentral:rRNA from 1 species